UGGGGAAUCUUAGACAAUGGGCGAAAGCCUGAUCUAGCCAUGCCGCGUGAGUGAUGAAGGCCCUAGGGUCGUAAAGCUCUUUCAACUGUGAAGAUAAUGACGGUAGCAGUAGAAGAAACCCCGGCUAACUCCGUGCCAGCAGCCGCGGUAAUACGGAGGGGGUUAGCGUUGUUCGGAAUUACUGGGCGUAAAGCGUACGUAGGCGGAUUAAUAAGUUAGAGGUGAAAUCCCAGGGCUCAACCCUGGAACUGCCUUUAAAACUGUUAGUCUUGAGAUCGAGAGAGGUGAGUGGAAUUCCAAGUGUAGAGGUGAAAUUCGUAGAUAUUUGGAGGAACACCAGUGGCGAAGGC
rnacentral:rRNA from 1 species